AUCACCCUCUUUCAGAAAACAAGACACCAGAUGCUCUGUAAAUAUCGAAAAUUUAACGAUGGACACACAUUGAGAUGCAGCUCAGCUGAUGUUCACAUUAUUCCACGUAUAUCUUCAAAUUUGAACAUGACCAAAUGGUGGUUAUAUUUCCAAGGCAGAAGAAGAGAGAAUCUCCUUUGUGAGAGAAGCCUCUUGUGUCACUGUGUGCUGAGGACUGUGAUAUCUCAGCAGGCCAAACACCACGUUCCUCUUCAGGAAGUAUUGAGCCCCAGUUGAUGCUCCUGGCCCCCAGGUGAACUCUGUAAAUGCCCGGUCCCUCUUUUCUUCUCUUCUAUACCUCUCUGUUCGUGUCCUUCCUCCCUUGUGUACAGACUACCUUAAAAAAAAAAAAACAACUCCAGCUAGCUUCAAAGUGUCCUUUUUGUCUGUUGAAUGAUGCUUGUUGUUUGUAGUUUUAAAUGUCUUGUCAUUUACGAUAAAAUGCAAAUGUACUGAA